GAAGGUAUAGCUCAGUGGUAGAGUAUAUGCCUGGUACGUACGAGGUGCUGGGAUCAAUCCCCAGUACCUUCA
rfam:Camelus ferus unplaced genomic scaffold scaffold193, whole genome shotgun sequence.